rnacentral:rRNA from 1 species
GACGAACGCUGGCGGCGUGCUUAACACAUGCAAGUCGAACGGUAAGGCCCUUCGGGGUACACGAGUGGCGAACGGGUGAGUAACACGUGGGUGAUCUGCCCUGCACUUCGGGAUAAGCCUGGGAAACUGGGUCUAAUACCGGAUAGGACUCCUGCCUGCAUGGGUGGGGGGGGAAAGCUUUUGCGGUGUGGGAUGGGCCCGCGGCCUAUCAGGUUGUUGGGGGGGUGAUGGCCUACCAAGGCGACGACGGGUAGCCGGCCUGAGAGGGUGACCGGCCACACUGGGACUGAGAUACGGCCCAGACUCCUACGGGAGGCAGCAGUGGGGAAUAUCGCACAAUGGGCGCAAGCCUGAUGCAGCGACGCCGCGUGAGGGAUGACGGCCUUCGGGUUGUAAACCUCUUUCAGCAUCGACGAAGCGAAAGUGACGGUAGGUGCAGAAGAAGGACCGGCCAACUACGUGCCAGCCGCCGCGGUAA